AACGACUCUCGGCAACGGAUAUCUCGGCUCUCGCAUCGAUGAAGAACGCAGCGAAAUGCGAUACUUGGUGUGAAUUGCAGGAUCCCGCGAACCAUCGAGUCUUUGAACGCAAGUUGCGCCCGAAGCCUUUCGGCCGAGGGCACGUCUGCCUGGGUG
rnacentral:rRNA from 4 species